AAAUUCACUACGAUAUGUCUUGUGUAAAAAGAGGUGGGGUGAGCUGGGGAGGGAUAGUAAGAACAAAAUUGAAAAUAAAAUCCGUCUCUUUAGUUUAUAGGUCUGAUUAUGGUCUUGAAUGAUUGAAUUUAUACAGCCUCAUCAACAUCAACCUAAUGCUAGUUUUGGAUUAGCCCGGCCCCAGUGAGGGGCUUGGGCUAUGCCUGCACCCUGCCAGGAAAACAAUGGUCUGAAACUGCUGAAUCAAUGUUGUCUCAAGUUUUAUAAACUGGCAGGAGUGCAGCAUAGAAAGCCGGGGUGAGCUGGACAUGAUUUUGAUGGGAAAUGCAUCAAUCCACAACCUCACACUCGGUUUAUCUUGGAGCUUCUGUAUCUUUGCAGAGGUAGCAUAGCUCAUUUGGUGUGGCAUAUUCAUUGCCUUUGAUGAUGAUGACGAGAUGAAAGGUAGAUGAGACUUCUUGGAGCUAAGAAAUAAUCACUCAUCAAUGAUGAAGCUAUAUGAGGAGCCAAGGAGAAUUGAGAAGAUACUUUCUUUUGAAGUGGGCAAAUUGAUAAUGUCCUGUGAGGCUUUCAACGUGCAGCAUCUCCUGUUGCGUACGGGUAAAAGCUUUUGCCUUGAAAUAAUAUGCCUUUACGGGAAAAGUUUUUUGCUGCAAUAAUAAAGCGGACAUCGUUAUGUACCAUAUAACUAUUUGAUCCAAUCAUUUUGAACCUUUUGAUUACUAUCGGCUAGUAUCUGUAGUCUUUCUUGAUUU